GUGGAGCCUGCGGCUUAAUUUGACUCAACACGGGAAACCUCACCAGGCCCGGACACCAGAAGGAUUGACAGAUUAAGAGCUCUUUCUCGAUUUGGUGGGUGGUGGUGCAUGGCCGUUCUUAGUUGGUGGAGUGAUUUGUCUGGUUAAUUCCGGUAACGAACGAGACUCUGGCCUACUAAAUAGUCGACGGGCGUCUUGGUGCAUGGGCCCCGUUCGACACAGUCUUCUUAGAGGGAUGAGCAGCGAGUAUAGCUGCAGGAGAUUGAGCAAUAACAGGUCUGUGAUGCCCUUAGAUGUCCUGGGCCGCACGCGCGCUACACUGAAUGGGUUAGCGGGUUGUCCUUCUCCGAGAGGAGCGGGAAAUCGCGUGAAAACCAUUCGUGAUAGGGAUUGGGGCUUGCAAUUGUUUCCCAUGAACGAGGAAUUCCCAGUAAGCGCAAGUCAUCAGCUUGCGUUGAUUAAGUCCCUGCCCUUUGUACACACCGCCCGUCGCUACUACCGAUUGAAUGAUUUAGUGAGGGCUUCGGACUGGCGGUCUUGGACUGGGGCGCCGGGUUGUCCCAGCAAUGGGAUGCCGGCGACCCGCCUCGACGGGCCGGAAAGAUGUCCAAACUUGAUCAUUUAGAGGAAGUAAAAGUCGUAACAAGGUUUCC
rnacentral:rRNA from 1 species